AGAUAAAAGAAAACUCGCUGAAGAAGCUAAAGGCCAUCCCAAAAAGUGCUUAUGAAAAGUGUUACGAGGACUGGAAAAAUCAUUUCCAGAAGUACAUUUCAUCUUUUGGGGAUUACAUUGAAGUCGACAAAAUAAAUAUUGUUGAAUAAAUACAUAUUUUGCAUUUAAUUUACAAUUUCCCAGUACUCUUUUGACACAAUGUAUAUGAGAAGCGCUAAAAAUAGUAUGGCUUUUUGUCUGUUGAUAAAGCAACACUCGUGUUGUGUAAAUCUGUACUUUACAAAAGGUAACUAAGUGCAUAUCAUCUUCAAUUCACCGAAACGCACACAAAGAGUGCAUUAGUUUUACAUUUACAUUUGAAAAGGCCGGAAAAGCGAAGUUGGUUUUUAGGUGUUAAGUCAUUAAAUGAUAGCGAACCAAACAAGCUUGGAAUUUAUAAUGAAUGUGAAUCACACAAAAGUAUUAAUUGUAGAAAUAGAUAUAGUAAAUAACUAUCUGUAUAUAUACUCAGAUACAUAUUUACAUUACAUAGUAGCACUUAACAUUUCAA